GACCUAUGAGAGCUGUGGACCCAGGCCAUACACUGGGAACCUGAGAACCUGCUGAGCAACUUCUGUUGAUCUAAGCCAGCAGGUGAGCUGCAUCAGUUCAUUGGAGUCCAUCACAGACCUCCACAGCCUGAGAAAUUUAACCUCCUGAUGGUAACUGCAAUGUCCUGACCUAAAACCAGAGACCUGAACAACAGCAAAUAAAACACAGGAUAUACUCGAUGUAGAGAGGUGGCCUGCUGCUCCUUGAGAGGCUCUCCUGGGUGUCCCGUUCAGCCCUGGCA
ensembl:lncRNA